AAGAAUGUUGCUCCGACUACAGUGUCUCCUUUGAUCACAUCUCCUGAACGUCCUGCUCAUCCUGCUGCAUCCUACUGGCUUCUGACUGCUGGUUUAGGUUCAUCCUUUACUGUGGUGGCUGCAUUGAUCUGCUGGCUCUGUUACAAUGACAAUUCCCACCAUCUUGCAGGACACGUGUCUCAGAUGUUUGAUGGGGCACUUUACAGCGCGGUGCAAUUCACUGCAGUUAAAAAAGCCAAGCGUUGAGGAAACGCAGAUGAAACGUCCAUCAGAAAAACACCACUGCUUUCAAUAUACAGAUUAUACUGCCUGUAACCUAACAAGAUACAUGUACAGAUUAUAC
rnacentral:lncRNA from 1 species